AAUGUGCCAAAAGGUCGCAAAGUUCAAGGGGGCCGAAUACUUUCGCAAGGCACUGUACAUACACCUCAGCCAAAUUGUCAUGUACUGUCAUGUUGUGUCUUGUCUCUGUCCUUUCCCUUCCCUUCACCCUGUCUCCCUCUGCUGGUCGUUGUUAGGUUACCUUUUCUCCCCCGCUUUCCCCCAGCUGUUCCUUGUCUCCUCUUGACUACCUCGUCACCCCUUCUCCCACUUGUUCCCCUUUUCCCUCUGAUUAGUCCCCUAUAUCUCUCUCUGUUUUUGUUCCUGUCCUUGUCGGAUUCUUGUUUGUUGUGUUUCAUGCCUGAACCAGACUGUCGUCAUGUUUGCUGUAACCUUGUCUUGUCCUGUCGGAAUCUGCCGGUCCGUCUGAGCCUACCUAUGUUUGGUAAUUAAAGAAGCUCUGUUUAAGUUAAUUCGCUUUUGGGUCCUCAUUCACGCACCGUAACACAAAUACAUUUAAACUAUAAUUCCUGACAUUUAAUCCUAGUAAUAAUCCCCUGUCCCAGGUCAGUUAGGAUAACAACUUUAUUUUAAGAAAUAUCAGAAUAAUAGUAGAGAGAAUGAUUUAUUUCAGCUUUUAUUUCUUUCAUCACAUUCACAGUGGGUCAUAAGUUUACAUACACUCAAUUAGUAUUUGGUAGCAUUGCCUUUAUUUAUUUUUUACUUUGGUCAAACAUUUCAGGUAGCCUUCCACAAGCUUCCCACAAUAAGUUGGGUGAAUUUUGGCCCAUUCCCCCUGACAGAGUUGGUGUAACUGAAUCAGGUUUGUAGUCCUCCUUGCUCUCACACGCUUUUUCAGUUCUGCCCACAAACAUUCUAUAGGAUUGAGGUCAGGGCUUUGUGAUGGUCACUCCAAUACCUUGGCUUUGUUGUCCUUAAGACAUUUUGCCACAACUUUGUAAGUAUGCUUGGGGUCACUGUCCAUUUGGAAGACCCAUUUUCGAUCAAGCUUUAACUUCCUGAAUGAUGUCUUGAGAUGUUGCUUCAAUAUAGCCACAUAAUUUUCCUUCUCAUGAUGCCAUCUAUUUUGUGAAGUGCACCAGUCCCUCCUGCAGCAAAGCAUCCCCACAACAUGAUGCUGCCACCCCCGUGCUUUACGGUUGGGAUGGGGUUCUUCGGCUUGCAAGCCUCCCCCUUUUUCCUCCAAACAUAACGAUAGUCAUUAUGGCCAGUUCUAUUUUUGUUUCAUCAGACCAGAGGACAUUUCUCCAAAAAGUAUGAUCUUUGUCCCCAUGUGCAGUUGCAAAUCGUUGUCUGGCUUUUUUAUGGCAGUUUUGGAACUGUGCUUUCUUCCUUGCUGAGCGGCCUUUCAGGUUAUGUCGAUAUAGGACUCGUUUUACUGUGGAUAUAGAUACUUUUGUACCCGUUUCCUCCAGCAUCUUCACAAGAUCCUGCUGUUGUUCUGGGGUUGAUUUGCACUUUUCGCACCAAAGUGCGUUCAUCUCUAGGAGACAGAACACGUCUCCUUCCUGAGCGGUAUGACGGCUGCGUGGUCCCAUGGUGUUUAUACUUGAGUACUAUUGUUUGUACAGAUGAACGUGG
rnacentral:lncRNA from 13 species